rnacentral:rRNA from 1 species
AAUGAACGCUGGCGGCGCGCCUAAUACAUGCAAGUCGAGCGAGAAGACGUAGCAAUACGUUUGUAAAGCGGCGAACGGGUGAGGAAUACAUGGGUAACCUACCCUCGAGUGGGGAAUAACUAGCCGAAAGGUUAGCUAAUACCGCGUACGCUUCUUGGACUUCGGUUCAGGGAGGAAAGCGAUACCGUGGGUAUCGCGCUCUUGGAUGGGCUCAUGUCCUAUCAGCUUGUUGGUGAGGUAACGGCUCACCAAGGCUUCGACGGGUAGCUGGUCUGAGAGGACGAUCAGCCACACUGGCACUGCGACACGGGCCAGACUCCUACGGAGGCAGCAGUAAGGAAUAUUGCGCAAUGGGCAAAGCCUGACGCAGCGACGCCGCGUGGGGGAUGAAGGUCUUC